UACGUAGGGGGCAAGCGUUGUCCGGAAUCAUUGGGCGUAAAGAGCGUGUAGGCGGCUUGGCUAGUCUGGUGUGAAAUCUUGGGGCUCAACCCCAAGCGGUCACUGGAUACUUCCAAGCUUGAAUCCGGAAGAGGAGAGUGGAAUUCCUGGUGUAGCGGUGGAAUGCGCAGAUAUCAGGAGGAACACCAACGGCGAAGGCAGCUCUCUGGUACGUGAUUGACGCUGAGACGCGAAAGCGUGGGUAGCAAACAGG
rnacentral:rRNA from 1 species